CCUUUGGCCGUGGAAAAGUCUGACUGGGUUUCUCAUGCUAAGGAAUCUCUUGCCAAAGAACCUGACCUGAGGCUUGCUGAUGCACAAAUGCUGACACGUGCCACCUCCCCAUCCUGCUUAGUCUACAAGUCAAACCUGCUGCCUCUGUUUGCCCAGGUUUCGCCAUCGCUUUUAUGAUUGUGAAUCUUCAGAGAGCGGUUCAUUGGCCUGCAAAAUAAUAUUGUUCAACAGCUCCAGCGUGGGACAGCUGGGCGUGGUGAAAGCCACUAGAAACACGUCUUCUUUCUUGUCCUUCCUUGUACAACUUGUCAUUUAACAGACCUCAGGCUCGGAUUUGCAGAACGUUGCAUGGAAUUUGCAGAUGGAGAAGAUGAGCACUGCUUUGUUUGCUGCACAGAGAGUUGUGUCUCUGUCAGCUUAUAGGAGCUUGUGCAACCCUGCCUCUGUGUGCAAGCAGCUUGUCUGAUCACCCAGAGGAGAUGGAAGACAGGCAUUUCUGGAGAGAGCCCAGCCAGGGUAAGAGAGACAGCUGUCACCCACCCAGCUGCACUCUGCUUUAAUUCCACCCUCACUGCACACAGCCGUGCUGCUGGUAUUAUAGCAAAUGGCACUGGGCAACGUAAAGGAAAAUAAGGACAAAACAGAAAUCAUGUUAAGCCGUCCUGAACUUCUUCAAUGUGAGCAAUCCAGGGACUUGGAACAACCUUCUGCGGGACGUCUUGACAUCUCCGGUGUGGAAAUCCAGGUGGUGCUCCUGGGCUGGUGCUAAGCUGCUGGUUGGAGCAGGCCCUGGUGCCAGGCUGAGAUGCGGUGCAUCCGACCUGCUUAGAAAGCCCAUCAAACCUGUAAUAGAGCCACCUUCUUCUGCUCUGUUUUGGCAAGUGCUACAGAUUCAUGUAUGGUAAAUCUAGUAGUGAAGAACUGCAUGAACUUUUCUCUUCAAGUCAAGUGCUAUGCAAGUUCCAUUCAGGUAAAGUCUCUUCAUUUUACUGGGAGUACUGAGGACACCAUAUAUAAUUUUUUAAUGCUCAAAAUGGAGGCCAGCAGCCACACAGACCAGAGAAUGUGAAAUUGGAGUGUGAAAGCAAAGACACUAACCACAUGAAAUGUAAUAUGCACUUCCAUCUGUACUGGAAAAGGGAGUAGAGAUCAGCAAUUUCAUUGCACACCCCAUCAGCACACAGUCCUCACACGGUAAACCACUGAUUUCAGUCAUUUGUCACAUCAAAAGGAGAGGACACUAACAAAGAAAGUUCUGCAUUAGGAUCAGGCCUUUUUCAGUCCCUUCAUAUAGUGAUGGAUGACCACAGUAUUUUGCAUGGCUCUUUGAGAAGUCUGUACGAGUGUUUAAUGUGUCUUGGAGGCUGUAACACAACAGAAAGCAUGACAAUGACAGCAAAGCAGCAAGGUUCUAGGCUGCAACAAGUGAGGAAUUGCUGAAACUCAACAGCCACGGGCACAGAAAUAAAGGAAAGAAGCUGCUUACUUUCAGAAGGCAUCAGGUAUGCCGGGAUCUCCAGCAAGAUGCCCUCACCUCCACUGCCAACCCUUAAAUGAGGUCU